GCUUUGUACAUUUUUGUUAUUUUAAGGGAGUUACAGAUCUCCAAAGCUUAUUUGUGGGCAGCAGAUUAAGAAUUUCUGCUAUGAAAAGAGGACAAAGUUCAAACCAAUUAAGGACCAUCUGCCUACCAUAAAAACAAGAUCCUAUUGAAGUUAAAUAACUAUCAAUAAAAGGGCAUUCAACAACUAGGUCUGCUACCCUGCCUGGCCCUGAGCAAGUAGGACAAUGGGUCCAGCCAUGUCCCUGUUCUUUCUGAGGAGUGGCAACUGUGCCUCCUACUGCACCCGCCUGUACCAGCCAUGGCUGAGAACUUGGCAGUCAUGGAUGCUCUCUACACUUGACUGAAAAAGAAAACAGCUUCUUGGCUGUCUGAGCCUUAAAAGGUGAUUGUCCUAUUCCUGACAUAUUCUUUACAAAGUUCUAGGUGUAAGAAAAGGCUGUUUCAGGUUUUAAUGAGAGAAUAUUUGUUAGAGAGAAUAUUUGUUAAGCGCCCAGCUUAAGGACACACACAAAACUAUCAACAAAUGCCAUCUCUUUCCAAAGGUCAAGAGAGAGGGUAACUUUACUUGACGAAGUCACAGCUCUGGGAGAAAUUCCACUGACACUCAGGGGACUAAGUUAUGUAGUUUAACUAAAUUUGACUUGAAAUAAGUAGGCAUUUAAGAGGGCUUUUCUCUGGGGAUUUUACACAUAUUUUGCUGAUGUUGUAUUUUAAGGUAUCCUAUUUUGGUCAAAGUAGAUUCUUUAGCCAAAUCAGUACAUUUUGAAAUGACUAAAAUAUCUAGCAGCCAGCAAGUUCAGAUACACUGAUCUUUAGGAGGAAAUAGCCACAAAUUGAAUAGUACUUAAAGAAUUCUGUAUCAUUUUGCUUUGUUUCAGAAAGAUUAUCACAGGGAAAAGCUUAGUUAAGUGACUUUAAUAUUAAUAUAUUCAUUUCUGUAUUUCCAAUAUCUAGCAUAAUUCUCACACCAGGUAUAGGAAAGUGAUAACUAUUUAUUGAAUGAAUUUUCUAUAUAUGUAUGUCAAUAUCCAUUUUUAAGAACUCCAUGGUCAGGCAUGGUGGCCCACACAUGUAGUCCCAGCUACUCAAGAAGCUGACAUUGGAGGAUCACUUGAGCCCAGGAGUUUGAGUCUGUAGUGUGCUAUGAUCAGACCUAUGAAUAAACUAGGUGAGGGGAAAUUUACUGUGCAAAUACCUGCUAUGGCUGAUACAAGGUGCAGAUUAUAGCUCUAUGGUGGCCUGGAGAACCUCACACUUCUUAAUGGGUUCUCUAAGCAGGUGACCAGGAGAAUCACUAUUCUAUUUUUGAUAAAGUUUCACUGAUCUUUUUUCAACUAGUCUUACCAAAUUCUCUGAGCAACACCUGCUGCAUUUGAUCUCAACUCAAUUUCAACUCCACUGGGGUGCAUGGGUGGGAACAAGAGAAAAAUAAGGGAAAUAUUUAAGUAAAUGAAAUUUAGCAAUGUCAGAAGAGACAGCAGGACAAAUUGCAAUCAAUAAUCCACCAGCAAUGCUAAUCACUUAAAAUUGUACAUUUACAUUUUCCAAUGCAGGAAUAAUGAUAUCAAUAUGAAUACCAAUGACAACAGUAACGAUAAUGAGUUCACAUUUAUUGAGUAUUUACUGUGUGCUGUAGACUGUGUUAAAUCAUUUGCAUGGCUUAUUUCAUUUAAUCUCACAAGAAUCCCAGGUGGAAGAGACUGGCAUUUCCUUUCCUCCUUUAUAGAUAAGGAAACUGAGGCAGAGAGGAGUUAAAUAAAUUAUGGACAGAUGUAGAGCCAGUGUCAGAGCAUCAACAUAAGAAUUCUCCAUCGUUAUACUGGCUUUUCUCACAAUAUGGCCUUAGAAUUACCUGGGAUGCUUGCUAAAAAUGAUUAGCUCUCAGUGUUAUCUAAAGCAAAUGAAUCAGGGUCUUAGGGAUGAAGAUCAGGACUCUACAUUUAAGAGACAGCAGGCACAGUAUUUCUUACGUACAUCACAGUUGGAGAACCAGUGUCUGAGCAGUAUGAAUUUCACAGCCUGAUACUGCUACAUGAACCAGAUUGAGUAAAAUGAUUCUCGUUUUUACUAUAGAGUCGUAUAAGAGAGAAAAUAUAUCACAACAUUAAAGAGAAACAGUAAAAUCACCUCAACUAUUGAAAUCAUUUCAACAGAGGACUCAACUUCUGAAUUGAUCAUAGAGAUAUAACUGCUUUUGACCAGCUUUAGAAGGCAGAUUUUUGUAUUUGUCUCUCAUAUGGAACUGGGGCCUCAAUUUCCCAUUUGUAAAACAAGAGUGUCGGACUAGACAAAAUUUUAUAAAACUGCAGGUUUAAAUAUUAAUAAAUAUAUAAAUGUUUUCCCUUUUUUAAAAAAGAGAAUUCACUAUACAAUUUCUUAAAAUAACCUUUUU
rnacentral:lncRNA from 1 species